GAUGAAGAACGUAGCGAAAUGCGAUAAGUAGUGUGAAUUGCAGAAUUCAGUGAAUCAUCGAAUCUUUGAACGCACAUUGCGCCCCUUGGUAUCCCGAGGGGCAUGCCUGUUCGAGCGUCAUUUCACCACUCAAGUCUGGCUUGGUGUUGGGCGACGUCCUCUUUGGGGACGCGCCUCGAAACGCUCGGCGGCGUGGCACCGGCUUUAAGCGUAGCAGAAUCUUUCGCUUUGGAAGUCGGGGCCCCGUCUGCCGGAAGACCUGCUCGCAAGGUUGACCUCGGAUCAGGCAGGGAUACCCGCUGAACUUAAGCAUAUCAAUAAGCGGAGGA
rnacentral:misc_RNA from 1 species